GGCAGAUUUCCCGAGCGGCCAAAGGGGGGCUGACUGUAAAUCAGCUGGCACUGCCUUCACUGGUUCGAAUCCAGUAUCUGCCACCG
rnacentral:tRNA from 1 species